rfam:Oryctes borbonicus contig13712, whole genome shotgun sequence.
UAAAUGGAUUUACUUAAAUCCACAAUUAUUUUGCAUGUAUGCUUUU